rnacentral:misc_RNA from 1 species
CAGUAGUCACCCGGGGCGCCGCAAGGCCUCCCGGGUAACCUACCACCCUUUGUUUAUUACACUUUGUUGCUUUGGCAAGCCUGCCCUCGGGCUGCUGGCUCCGGCCGGCGAGCGCCUGCCAGAGGACCACAAACUCUUGUUAUCAGUGAUGUCUGAGUACUAUAUAAUAGUUA